UACGUAGGGUGCGAGCGUUGUCCGGAAUUAUUGGGCGUAAAGGGCUCGUAGGCGGUUUGUCGCGUCGGGAGUGAAAACUCAGGGCUUAACCCUGAGCCUGCUUCCGAUACGGGCAGACUAGAGGUAUGCAGGGGAGAACGGAAUUCCUGGUGUAGCGGUGAAAUGCGCAGAUAUCAGGAGGAACACCGGUGGCGAAGGCGGGUCUCUGGGCCGAUACUGACGCUGAGGAGCGAAAGCGUGGGGAGCAAACAGG
rnacentral:rRNA from 1 species